CUGGGUUGUUGGUUGCCAUCUUGGACCUCGCUCGUUUGAGAAGCCGGCCGCCCGCAAAAAUCUUUGAGUUUCACGCGUUCGCGCGGCCUCACGUACCCCGGAAGCAGGUUGCGUGAUUUCUCGACGAAUUUAUAGAUCUGUUGCAAUCAAUCUAAUCAAGAUUCGGGUCCGGAAUGUAUUAGGUGUAUGUUUAGUCUCGCGCAUUCAUAACUGGGUGAGUGGAGGAAAUAAAUUAACUAUCUUUUAUAAUUAUUCGAUAGACCACAGUGAAAAAAUAGCAAUCGACAAAACAAAUAGCAGUAGCGAUAUAUCAGAGAAAAUGGCACUACCCAGUAGAGCGCGAGUUUACACCGAUGUAAAUGCACGUAAACCUAGAGAUUACUGGGACUAUGAAUCUUAUGUUGUUGAUUGGGGGCAACAAGAUGAUUAUCAAUUAGUAAGAAAAUUAGGCAGAGGAAAAUAUAGUGAAGUGUUUGAAGCUAUUAAUAUCACAAAUAAUGAAAAAUGCGUUGUAAAAAUUUUAAAGCCUGUAAAAAAGAAGAAAAUAAAAAGGGAGAUUAAAAUCUUAGAAAAUCUCAAAGGUGGGACCAACAUAAUUACUCUCCAAGCAGUUGUCAAAGAUCCUGUGUCAAGGACACCAGCACUGAUUUUUGAACAUGUCAACAACACAGACUUCAAGCAAUUAUACCAGACGUUAACAGACUACGACAUAAGAUACUACCUCUACGAAUUAUUGAAAGCACUGGAUUACUGUCAUAGUAUGGGAAUAAUGCACAGGGAUGUCAAACCGCACAAUGUGAUGAUAGAUCAUGAAAACCGAAAGCUGCGGUUAAUCGAUUGGGGUCUAGCAGAAUUUUACCAUCCCGGUCAAGAAUAUAACGUACGAGUAGCUUCGCGUUAUUUCAAAGGUCCAGAAUUACUCGUAGAUUUUCAGAUGUAUGAUUAUUCAUUAGAUAUGUGGUCUCUUGGAUGCAUGCUUGCGAGUAUGAUAUUCAGGAAAGAACCGUUCUUUCAUGGACACGAUAAUUAUGAUCAACUAGUUAGAAUUGCAAAAGUCCUUGGAACCGAGGAACUGUUUGAAUACCUUGAAAAGUACCAUAUUGAAUUGGAUCCUCGUUUCAACGACAUUUUAGGCCGACAUUCACGUAAACGUUGGGAACGUUUCAUGCAUUCGGAAAAUCAGCAUUUGGUAUCGCACGAAAGUCUUGACUUUCUUGACAAACUUCUGCGCUACGAUCAUUACGAGAGACUCACUGCACGCGAAGCUAUGGAACAUCCCUAUUUUUAUCCAAUAGCAAAAGAACAAGGUCGAUUAAACAUGGUAUCAUCGUCACCUACUCCCGUAACAGGUUCGUUGCCUGUAGUCAGUAUACAUAUUUAUGAGAGGAGCGUGCGAAGAAUCAAACAUUUUCGUUUAGGUAUCGAUACUUGUUGGCGCGAGGGGCUUAAUCCAAACCUUAGGCGUGACUGUGAGCAGCGUGCCGGUUCAUGGAACAAACGGACUGAGAAAUAUGAUGGGAGGAGUUGCAAAUGGAGCUCAGAAAACUCUAAAGUAUUCAUCACGUCUUUUACAUACGGUUUUCGACUAUUGACUCGUUAUGUACUAACGGCUGAUCUUUUCAUUCCACCUGAACUUGCGAAAUCAAGAAGAAAAGUACUACUUCGUAUGACGGUGGACCAUUCUUUAUGUAAAUGGCGAUUAUAUUCUGACAUGGUAUAUAAAGUUCUACAUUUUAGACAUUCCUUGUUCUUUAAUUCGGGAAUCACUUGAAAGGACUUAUUUUUGUUCUUUUAACGGAAGCAAUCUACUGUGUAUGAUUCAAGUCAAAUGGCUAUAGACAGAAAAUAUUACUUAUGUGUUCGUUGACUGUAGUAUAACUGCGAAUGGUUUAGAAACGAAGUUGUAGAAUGGCAAAAUAAUCUAUCGAAUCAGAGUACGUGCUCCGUCCAUAUUGGCCGGUGUGCGUGUGCCAUUAAUAUUUGUAUGUUGCCUUUUUUCCAUCUUGUGAUUUAUGAUUUACCGUGUUUCUGCUACCGAUGCCAUGGGCACGGGAAAUUCGUAAACGCAUAAAGAUACGAUUAGAUCAUGUUAUGUCACUCGGAAGAUCGUCCGUUAAUAUACAAGACAUCGUGAAGACGAUGCAAAGCAAACUCACGUGUAUUUACAUACACACACACACGUAUACAAACAUAACACGUAUACAACAUAUACAUACAUACAUACAUACACAUAUACACACACAGCACGUGCUCACACUUAUACAUGUACCUUUAGGCCGCUCGGUUUAGUACUUUUAACGAUGAUAAAAAUGUUCGUUUAUAUCUGAUACAAUGAUAGUUGAAUAAAAUGUUUGUUAUAGCCAAGUACUCUUUGUGCUCUGUGAAUACCUAUGUAUCCAGUAACAGAUACCAACGCGUUGGUAAAUUGAGAAUGUGAUUUCGAAGACCGCGACAUUUCAAGCCCCCCUUGUUAUCACGCUGGUCUCUCGAUGUAACCUCGGACCGUAGCGAUUCUACGUCGAAUGGAGAAUUCACAGGCACCUUAAAAACACUUGGCGUCAGCAAAAGCCUACACACGAACGAUACACGCGCCGAUAACGAAUGAAACAUUUGUAUUGCUGUACAUUUGUACGCUUGAUGCGCUGAUCAAAACACUUAAUGUCGAUAACAUUAAAUCAAUCAAGUUAUUUCGUAUACAGCAUUACCAAUGUGUUUCUUAUAAAUUGAACAAGUAAUUAUUUAUAUACAAACAUAAACCAAUUUAUUGUGUACAUUUGAAAAGUUCACCGCUAGCAGAGGAGAGAGAAAAAAAGGGAGGGGAGAAAGAAACGACAACGUACUUUCGAAGAAUGUAUAGGAAUAUAGCACACUCCACUUGUAUACCAUGUCCUUUCGUAUUAUUUCGAAAGAAUUUGUCAGUUCCUAUACGUAUAAAUUGCGCAUAAAGUACGGUCAAUUCGAUAUAUAUAAAUAUAUAUAUAUAUAUAUGUAUGAUAUAUAUACGUAUGCGUGUGUAUACGUACAUACAUGGAGGCGCCAUACGCACACAUACGUGUAUAUGUAUAUAACAAACACGUAUAUACGCUAGCGUAUUACAAAUGCGUACCCUACCAAGCGGAGUGUGAAUUUAAAUUUGACGAGCAUUAUGUGCCCUCGAAUAUUAUCGGCUAAGUAGUAAUGUUCGCUUUUUAUUCUGAUCACUGCGCCGUUUUUGCCUUAUUCUCAUGUAUUUUAAGAUUUCAUAUGUAUAUAUGUAUAUUUUAUUUUUCAAUAAUGCAUAAAAAUAUAUAUAUACAUAUAUAUGUAUAUAUACAUAUACAUAUAUAUAUACAUAUACGUGUACGCAGAUAAGUGAAAAAGUGAGAAGGGUACAUAGACGUGCGAAGUGAAUAAACUGCGCUAUAGAUGUUAAACAUGUAAAAAAAAAUAUGGAAUACUCUGUGUACGAGUAAACUAUAAAUACGUUUUAUUUAUUAUGCUUAUAAUUGUCGUAUUAAUAGUACACGACAAGUAUCUGAUUUCGAGUCAAGUUUAUGUGGCAAGAACGGCGCACAUGUAAUUGUUUAUCCAAGUUUGAUAACCCUCCCUGUUCAUGCGUUAAGUUUACGAUAAUCUAGUUUAGUUUUAUAGAAGAAAAAUUAUUGAAUAAUUGCUAUUUAAAUCUACGAAUGAACUUAAACGGAAAGAAGAAGAUUAAGAUAACGAAUUGUCACUAAUAUAAUUAAUAUAUUACGCUGGAUUUUAACUUCGGUAUUUUAACUUGCAACGUCAUGAGUUUCUUACUACGUACAUUGAAAGCAAAAUGUGAUGUCGAACGAAAAUCACUGGAAACGCCGUUCUACCCUCGAUCGUUCAUUUAUAGGCCAGUCUUAAAUUUUCUUCUCAUUACCUUCGAGAACGGCCGUGUCCUGAAAGAAGAAAGUGCACUGAAUGUUUCAUCGUACACAAAUAUUCUUCGUUUCUUUAAAUAAAUGCGGGAUAGCGUGAAACAAAGUAUUUUCACGUGGUUGAGGUAUGACAAUAAAAUUAGCCAAAGUGCACGAAAAUGCUUUGACCUGUCAUCGAUCGUUGAAGCAUAAAAAAAAUAACCCGUUUUUAUAUUAUGCAAUUUGUUUCUGAUGUUUUUGCAAUGUUCACUCUGGGAAUUAGCGAUACAAUGGCAAAAAUAAAUUAAUGAUAAAAACGUUCACGGAUUUGUUUUGUGCGGACGAGACAUUUGUGCGUACUAUAUAAUGUAACAAUAAUAUGUAUAAUUUACAACAACAAAAAAAAACGUUGUAACGACACUAAAAUACCAGUGCUGUAUAGAAUUACUUAAAAAAA